rnacentral:rRNA from 1 species
AGGACGAACGCUGGCGGCGUGCUUCACACAUGCAAGUCGAACGGGGCUCAUUCGGUGGUAACACCGGAGAAGGCCUAGUGGCGAACGGGUGCGUAACACGUGAAGAACCUGCCCCGAAGACUGGGAUAACAGCGGGAAACCGCUGCUAAUACCGGAUGACCCCACCAGGCCGCAUGGCCAGGUGAGGAAAUGGGCCUACCGCUUCGGGAGGGCUUCGCGGCCUAUCAGCUUGUUGGUGGGGUAACGGCCUACCAAGGCUACGACGGGUAGCUGGUCUGAGAGGACGACCAGCCACACUGGGACUGAGACACGGCCCAGACUCCUACGGGAGGCAGCAGUGGGGGAAUCUUGCGCAAUGGGCGAAAGCCUGACGCAGCAACGCCGCGUGAGGGAUGAAGGUCUUCGGGUUGUAAACCUCUUUCGAGCAGGGACGAUUGUGACGGUACCUGCAGAAGAAGCUCCGGCCAACUACGCGCCAGCAGCCGCGGU